UAGGGAAUCUUCCGCAAUGGACGCAAGUCUGACGGAGCAACGCCGCGUGAGUGAAGAAGGAUUUCGGUUCGUAAAACUCUGUUGUUAGAGAAGAACAGCGCAUAGAGUAACUGUUAUGCGUGUGACGGUAUCUAACCUGAAAGCCACGGCUAACUACGUGCCAGCAGCCGCGGUAAUACGUAGGUGGCAAGCGUUGUCCGGAUUUAUUGGGCGUAAAGCGAGCGCAGGCGGUCAAUUAAGUCUGAUGUGAAAGCCCCCGGCUCAACCGGGGAGGGUCAUUGGAAACUGGUUGACUUGAGUGCAGAAGAGGAGAGUGGAAUUCCAUGUGUAGCGGUGAAAUGCGUAGAUAUAUGGAGGAACACCAGUGGCGAAGGCGACUCUCUGGUCUGUAACUGACGCUGAGGCUCGAAAGCGUGGGUAGCAAACAGGAUUAGAUACCCUGGUAGUCCACGCCGUAAACGAUGAGUGCUAAGUGUUGGAGGGUUUCCGCCCUUCAGUGCUGCAGUUAACGCCUUAAGCACUCCGCCUGGGGAGUAAGACCGCAAGGUUG
rnacentral:rRNA from 1 species